GGACUAGCUCCUGAUAGAAGGAAUGGCAUCCUGGAAAGAGAAAUACUUAGCAGGGUAGUCAGAGCUCUGGCUGACCGUGCCAGACUGCAGGCCUUAAAACAAGGGCUGAGUGAGUGCUAGGGCUAUGAGGAAGUGGCCCAGGGAAGGCAGGCAGUGAUGGAGAGUGGAGGAAGGCAGCAAGCGGCUGCUGCUCAAGGGUCCCUUGGCUGGGGCCCAGAGCAGUGGGAGGGCCUGGGUCCGUCCCUCCCUCCCCCCUUGCGCUGCACCUUGCCAUGAGGGAGCAUGGCCCAUGGACUGCACCUUGUCCCUCAGCUUUUUCCCCACCUAGAGGCUUAUUAUAAAGAAGGAUAUUUGUGCUGAUGAGGCCCUGGAUUGGAGUAGCUUGGCAAGAACAUUUGCUUUCAUCUCCGAAGUUACACAGCGUAUUGCAGACAAGCUGUAAUCGACUGCCAAAGUGUUCUCUGAUGCUGAAUCAUGGUGCCAAGACCUGACAUUUCAUCUGCAGGACUCCAACUCUCAUCUUUUCUACCAUCUCCAACUUGUGCAUGUGGUAGCUUCAAGUUUUCUUAGAGAUUCUAAGUGCCAGAACCCAGUGGGGCCUGCUGGGUAAACAGGAUUGGUACACAGUGUACUGUCACACAAGGGUUGGUCUAAGAGUGGGAGAACUGUGGAGUGCCGCCCCAGGAGACCUGAAGGCAUGAGGCCUGACACUUGAGGGGGUGUACUCAGAGAAACCAGAAAGGGGACAGAGAUGCAGCUAACCCUGUAACUGAGAUGUCUUGCAUGAAAGGGACUGUGCACAAGCCAUCACCAUGCUACCAGCACAGAUUGGGGGCUUGAACCAUCUCCCACCCCAAAGCUCCCAGCAGUGCUCCAUAUGGAUUGAUUUAAAUCACCAAGCUGGAAACCUU